AGCGAACGCUGGCGGCAGGCUUAACACAUGCAAGUCGAGCGCCCCGCAAGGGGAGCGGCAGACGGGAGAGUAACACGUGGGAACAUACCUUUUGGUUCGGAACAACUGAGGGAAACUUCAGCUAAUACCGGAUAAGCCCUUACGGGGAAAGAUUUAUCGCCGAAAGAUUGGCCCGCGUCUGAUUAGCUAGUUGGUGAGGUAACGGCUCACCAAGGCGACGAUCAGUAGCUGGCCUGAGAGGAUGAUCAGCCUCACUGGGACUGAGACACGGCCCAGACUCCUACGGGAGGCAGCAGUGGGGAAUAUUGGACAAUGGGGGCAACCCUGAUCCAGCCAUGCCGCGUGAGUGAUGAAGGCCUUAGGGUUGUAAAGCUCUUUUGCCCGGGAAGAUAAUGACGGUACCGGGAGAAUAAGCCCCGGCUAACUUCGUG
rnacentral:rRNA from 1 species